rnacentral:rRNA from 1 species
GCACAAGCAGCGAGCAUGUGGUUUAAUUCGAAGCAACGCGAAGAACCUUACCAGGGCUUGACAUGCCGCUGACCGGUUUAGAGAUAGAUCUUUACCCUUCGGGGUACAGCGGACACAGGUGGUGCAUGGUUGUCGUCAGCUCGUGUCGUGAGAUGUUGGGUUAAGUCCCGCAACGAGCGCAACCCCUACGUUUAGUUGCUAACGCGUGAAGGCGAGCACUCUAGACGAACUGCCGUUGACAAAACGGAGGAAGUGGGGAUGACGUCAAAUCAUCAUGCCCCUUAUGUUCUGGGCUACACACGUGCUACAAUGGCCGGUACAGACGGAGGCGAAGCCGCGAGGCGGAGCAAAUCCUAAAAAGCCGGUCUCAGUUCGGAUUGCAGGCUGCAAUUCGCCUGCAUGAAGUCGGAAUCGCUAGUAAUCGCAGGUCAGCAUACUGCGGUCGAAUACGUUCCCGGGCCUU